rnacentral:rRNA from 1 species
AACUUUCAACAACGGAUCUCUUGGUUCUCGCAUCGAUGAAGAACGCAGCGAAAUGCGAUAAGUAAUAUGAAUUGCAGAUUUUCGUGAAUCAUCGAAUCUUUGAACGCACAUUGCGCCCUUUGGUAUUCCAAAGGGCAUGCCUGUU